UGAGUAACCUGCCCUUAACUCUGGGAUAAGCCGUGGGAAACUGGGUCUAAUACCGGAUAUGACUCCUCAUCGCAUGGUGGGGGGUGGAAAGCUUUAUUGUGGUUUUGGAUGGACUUGCGGCCUAUCAGCUUGUUGGUGAGGUAAUGGCUCACCAAGGCGACGACGGGUAGCCGGCCUGAGAGGGCGACCGGCCACACUGGGACUGAGACACGGUCCAGACUCCUAGGGAGCAG
rnacentral:rRNA from 1 species